rnacentral:rRNA from 1 species
CUGUAAGCCUGCGAAGGUGGCCUGUGAGGGUUGCUGGAGGUAUCAGAAGUGCGAAUGCUGACAUAAGUAACGAUAAAGCGGGUGAAAAGCCCGCUCGCCGGAAGACCAAGGGUUCCUGUCCAACGUUAAUCGGGGCAGGGUGAGUCGACCCCUAAGGCGAGGCCGAAAGGCGUAGUCGAUGGGAAACGGGUUAAUAUUCCCGUACUUGGUGUUACUGCGAAGGGGGGACGGAGAAGGCUAUGUUGGCCGGGCGACGGUUGUCCCGGUUUAAGCGUGUAGGUGUGUGUUCCAGGUAAAUCCGGUUCACUUUAACACUGAGGCGUGA